UCCAGCAUGACCCCUCGUUCACAAUCAAACUGCCUUUAACAUACAGGAGCACCAAAAGGCACAGGAGUGGACGCCAGCAGACUCAUUAGCACCUCCCCAGCAUCACCUCGGUCCACUUAACUGAAGAACAGCUGUUGAAGACGGCAAGAGCCAAAACAAUACCCAGUUCUCAACCAAAUAAGAUAUCUCUGAAAAGAGGAAAAAUGGUUGUGAGCUGCCAUUGUCCCAUUUUUAGGAGAAACUAUAGAAGGAACAGCAAGCAGUUACACAGAAAUGUAAAAUGGGAGUGUUAUAUGGAGACAUACAGCUUCGAGAAGCCCAUCCUUGGAAUUCCCCAGAAUCAUUCCAUCCUUGCCCUGUCCUGUCUUCCCGUUGUGAUGUUUUUUUUCUGCUGUUAAAGAGAGCUGAAGGUACUAGACUAUGCAGAGAAUAAAUAGGCCCCCAGACUUUCCUGGCGGGGUCCCCGGGUCAAUGCUCUUCAGAAGCACUGGCUGAUUCUGACCUUUGCGGCCUCUUCUCCUACAACACCAGUGCUCUUAGUGGCUCAUGUUUGUCAAGACAACAAUGUUGACUUUGGAACCUGUGAUCUCUGGUCACAUACUACUCUGCAGACCAGCCAUCUGAACUUGGAAGCACAGCUGGACUGGAAGAAAACUGCUGGAGACUUUACUUAUCUUCA
rnacentral:lncRNA from 1 species